rnacentral:rRNA from 1 species
GACGAACGCUGGCGGCGUGCUUAACACAUGCAAGUCGAACGAUGAAGCCGCUUCGGUGGUGGAUUAGUGGCGAACGGGUGAGUAACACGUGGGUAAUCUGCCCUGUACUCUGGGAUAAGCCUGGGAAACUGGGUCUAAUACCGGAUAUGACCAUGUCACGCAUGUGGUGUGGUGGAAAGUUCUGGCGGUAUGGGAUGAACCCGCGGCCUAUCAGCUUGUUGGUGGGGUGGUGGCCUACCAAGGCGACGACGGGUAGCCGGCCUGAGAGGGCGACCGGCCACACUGGGACUGAGACACGGCCCAGACUCCUACGGGAGGCAGCAGUGGGGAAUAUUGCGCAAUGGGCGAAAGCCUGACGCAGCGACGCCGCGUGAGGGAUGACGGCCUUCGGGUUGUAAACCUCUUUCGCACGGGACGAAGCGUGAGUGACGGUACCGUGAGAAGAAGCACCGGCUAACUACGUGCCAGCCGCCGCCGUAACAC